rnacentral:rRNA from 1 species
GACGAACGCUGGCGGCGUGCUUAACACAUGCAAGUCGAACGGAAAGGCCCUGCUUUUGUGGGGUGCUCGAGUGGCGAACGGGUGAGUAACACGUGAGUAACCUGCCCUUUACUUUGGGAUAACUUCAGGAAACUGGGGCUAAUACUGGAUAGUAGCUCCUGCUGCAUGGUGGGGGUUGGAAAGUUUCGGCGGUUGGGGAUGGACUCGCGGCUUAUCAGCUUGUUGGUGGGGUAGUGGCUUACCAAGGCUUUGACGGGUAGCCGGCCUGAGAGGGUGACCGGCCACAUGGGGACUGAGAUACGGACCAGACUCCAACGGGAGGCAGCAGUGGGGAAUAUUGCACAAUGGGCGGAAGCCUGAGGCAGCAACGCCGCGUGCGGGAUGACGGCCUUCGGGUUGUAAACCGCUUUCGCCUGUGACGAAGCGUGAGUGACGGUAAUGGGUAAAGAAGCACCGGCUAACUACGUG